CGGGUUAUUGUGAUGUCCCAUGCAUGUUAUUAUAAAAACCUCCAAAUACAUCCUUAAACUAACAACAAAUUGGUCACAGUUUCAGUGAGAAGAAAUAACUGGAUCUUCAUUCAAAAUCAAAGGUGUGCAAGAUUUGAAAAACCAACUAUACUAUUACCAACAUGUCUUACCCAGUAAAAAUCGCACCUCAGGGAAACAAUGGCGAUAAUAUCAUAUCAAAGAUUAUCGAUACAGUUUGGGAGUACACGCCUUUCACUGGUAGCAGUAACGAAACAGUAGAUGAAAGAAUUAAGACCAGAAAAGCCUAUUUUGGUACAUCUCCCAUUACAAAUUUUCCAGCAAAAGUAAGUGACAGAAUGAAAACUACCUGGACAGACACAUCUACAAAUACUCCAAGUUAUGAAGCAGGACUAAACAGAAGGAUUGCAACUCAGGAGCCACGUAAAAAAGGAUACACCCAGGGACGGAUUCAAGGGUUGGCAGCCGGACCACAAAGAAAGCCAGAGGGAAGGAAAUACACUAAAUGACGCUAAAUGCUACUUGUGGCAGUUGAGCACCUGCAACAAUUUUCGGCAUCGCAAGAGUGUUUUGCGGCAGUUAGAGGCAACUGCUGGAACAAGCGCCACAAGAACAUCUGGCGGCUGUUUUCAGUUGCCGCUAUAAUAUAAACUAAAUCUAUUUAUUUGAUUGGUUUGCAGCGGUUGUAAACCGCUAGUAAACCCGAAUUGUAUUUUGAUAUUUUAUUUUUGCCAGUAUGUAACCGCUGUAAAAUGUAUUUUUUUCUGGUGCCAACUUGACUACCCAUUCUCAUGAAAUGGGUAAUGUAGCCCAUCCUAAAUGUAUUAGAUAUAUUGGUUGAAAAAAUAUCAUUUAUAAUAUAAUUAAAAUAUGAAUAGUUUUCAAUAAUGACAAUACAACUUUUAAUAAUUGUAGAUUGACCCCAUAUUAGAUUUCACAGUAUUUCUCGUGCUAUUCAUCUUCUCUCUUCCACCUUCCUCUUCUUCUUCCAUCUUCUCCGACGACGGCGACGGCGAAGACCACCGCCACCACGGUUUACAAAUUUUCUGUCAUUCUUUUCCAUCUUUUUCUACCUUCCACCUUCGUCUUCUUCUAUCUUCUCCGACUCAGCUUUUCCCUCCGUUCAGAUUACAAACCAUUGUUCCUUCUCUCCCUCCUUUCGUUGUUAUUCUCUCUUAUUUGAUCCAAAUUGAAAACCCUAUUCAUUUUUUUUUAUAAACCAAAACCCUAUUCCUUAAUAUUAGAUUCAAAACCAUAUGGAGAGAACCCUAACUUUUGUUUACCCCAAAUUUCGUAACAUGACGAGAACCCAUCUUUACAAAUUUAGUCUAUAACAAACAAGAAGACAAUUUAUUCUCUUUUCCAGUCGCUGAGUAAUUUUGUUGAGGUUAGAAGAUUUCAAUUUAAUUAUGAAUUGAUUUAUUAUUAGAUGCUUUGUAAUUGAAUUGAGUUAUUGUUGAUUUGUUGUUGUUAGGAACAUUGAAUUUAAUUGAGAAUAUUGUUAAUUGAUGUUGUCUUUUAUAUAGUUUCCUCAUUAUAUUACAAUUUAGAUUUAUAUUCAAAGAAAUGUAUUGUCCUUUAUAAUGUGUUUGGAACUUGCUGCCUACCUCAUGAGAUAUAGGGAUGAAUGGUUUGUAAUUUGGGAGGGUUCUCUUCAUGAAAGCUUUAACUGUAAUGGACAUGAAUAUGAAAAUGGAUUGGUUUGGUUUGGCAGGGUUAAAUUCAAAGAGCUCUGGUUCAGCUGGAAAUGAUUUGAGCAGUACAAAUAGUAAUUUAUUAGUGUAAAAAAUUCAAGCAGCUCUGGUUCACCUUCCUGUCGAUCAUCGGCUGCUUGUUCAAAAUCUUACCGCUCAGGUUUUCAACAAUGGUUCUGUACCAGCCUCAGCACAAGCUACUUUCCCAUAUAUAUUUGCAGUCAGCAAGUUGUUGCAGCCUGGUAGUUUUGAUCUUGUUGGUACUAUUAUAUAUGAAAUAGACGAGCAUCCAUACCAAAGCACCUUCUUUAACGGCACUGUUGAAGUUGUUGAAUAUGUUGGUUUUCUUAGCAUCGAAUCUAUUUUUCUUGUUACUCUUGGAAUUGCCCUCCUUGUCCUCCUAGGGCUAUGGAUUCAUGGUCACGUUCAAAACCUAUCUAAGGAUUAUAACGCAAAGCUUUCUGAUUUCGGGUUGGCAAAGGAUGGUCCAACAGGUGACAAAAGCCACUUCUCUACCCGAGUAAUGGGCACCUAUUGAUACGCAGCUCCUGAAUAUCUAGCCACAUGUAUAUUUGAGUUCAUGUUGUCGAACCAUAUAUGUUUUUCGAUUCUCCUUUUAUAAUUUUGUUAACUUAUUCUCGGUUCAGCUUAGUAGCAUUUCAGUUAAUAGCAAAAAAAUCAUUGUUACCGCAGGUCAUCUUACUACUAAGAGCGAUGUUUAUAGUUAUGGAGUUGUCCUGCUGGAAAUGUUAUAUGGUAAGAGGGCAGUUGACAAGAAUAUACCAUCUCGACAACACAACUUGGUGGAAUAGGCUAAACCGUAUCUCGCUAACAAAUGUAAGGUUUUCAGUGUGUUAGAUAGCCGACUCAAAGGACAGCACUCAUCAGAGAAUCUCUACGAGGUUAAAGAAAGCUUUUAGUUUCAUUGGCGUAGCUGGUGCAUGCAGGAGGUUAAAGAAAGUUCAUGUAAAGUUGUGUGCAACUUGAUAACAUUGUAAUAUGUAUUUGAAUUAUAAUAUGUAUUUUUCGUUUCAUAUCUAUUAAUUUUUUUUAGUAUUUACCCAAA